GACGAACGCUGGCGGCGUGCUUAACACAUGCAAGUCGAACGGAAAGGCCCUGCCUGCAGGGUACUCGAGUGGCGAACGGGUGAGUAACACGUGGGUGAUCUGCCCUGCACUUCGGGAUAAGCCUGGGAAACUGGGUCUAAUACCGGAUAGGAGCCAUUUUUAGUGUGAUGGUUGGAAAGUUUUUUCGGUGUAGGAUGAGCUCGCGGCCUAUCAGCUUGUUGGUGGGGUAAUGGCCUACCAAGGCGGCGACGGGUAGCCGGCCUGAGAGGGUGGACGGCCACAUUGGGACUGAGAUACGGCCCAGACUCCUACGGGAGGCAGCAGUGGGGAAUAUUGCACAAUGGGCGCAAGCCUGAUGCAGCGACGCCGCGUGGGGGAUGACGGCCUUCGGGUUGUAAACUCCUUUCGCUAGGGACGAAGCUUUUUGUGACGGUACCUAGAUAAGAAGCACCGGCUAACUACGU
rnacentral:rRNA from 1 species